GUGUAUUAACUCAGUUUGUCAACAAUGGAAGACUUUGGUCAUUCCAUUUUCGUGCAAAUCUCAACAACUAUCUGACUUUUAAAGAUUCAAUCAGCGCAUGAGGUCAAAAUACUUUUAAUAGUUCUGAUUUUCUCCAUCGAAAAGCAGAUUUGGCCAGUUUUUUAUUCAAAUUUCAAACGGGUCUUUUGAUUCGAUUUUGAAAAAUCAAGACUCUCAAAUCCCACCCAAAUAUUUACCUUCAUGAACUCUAGCUUAUUCUCUAUAAAUAGCAGCUUUAGCAUUAACUUUGGGCAUGUUUUUUGGAAUCGAUUUUCAGCCAUCAAUUCACAACCAAAAGCUGCCUGAAACAGCUCGCUUACUCUCAGAAAUAUUUAGCUUUCCAUCUCUUUUGUUUUCUGUGGAUUCUUGUGCGUGUUUUGAGUUUGAAGUAGGCAGAGUUCGAGCUUAGAUUUGUGGUCAAGAAAGUUCCAGUUCACUGCUCGCAAAUAGUCUUGUUGCAGGGUUAGUGAUGUUUCAUAAGUGAAGAUGAUGAUGAUCUUCGACAACAUCUACUCUUCCUUCCUUAUGGUGGGAGCUAUUUCUUAUUUUAUUUGGAAACUAUACUCUUAAAAGCUCUUAUAAAUGUUUAGACUAGUUCCUUGGGGGGGGGGGGGGAAUUCAGUGUAUUUAACAACUAUUUUUAAUUAUAAAAGAGAUUUCUUAUGUUUUCUUAACUUCCAUAUUGACUUGGUUUUAAAAUUGGUGUAAGGGUUCUCCUAUCUAGGUGUUAGAGUAGAUACCCGCACGAUCCGAUGAAUUGGAUUAUGACAUAGACAGUGUUGAUUCGGUCUAGUUGUGGAGAUCCUCAGAGAUGAGGGUGAGUUGAUGGCGUCCUAGCUCAACCUAUCUCAUUUCGUAUAUAGUUUUGACUAGUAUUUUGUAUUCGAGACAAAUUUAUAUUUUUUGGUCCACUUUUGGAACUUGUACUCAUAUAGUAGCUUUGUACUAUAGACCACCAGGUCGUGGGAUUGGAUCUCUUAUUUAUGUAUAUGUUGUUGUUCU